GACGAACGCUGGCGGCGCGCCUAACACAUGCAAGUCGAACGAGAGAGAAGGAGCUUGCUUCUUCGAUCGAGUGGCGAACGGGUGAGUAACGCGUGAGGAACCUGCCUCAAAGAGGGGGACAACAGUUGGAAACGACUGCUAAUACCGCAUAAGCCCACAGGUCGGCAUCGACCUGAGGGAAAAGGAGCAAUCCGCUUUGAGAUGGCCUCGCGUCCGAUUAGCUAGUUGGUGAGGUAACGGCCCACCAAGGCGACGAUCGGUAGCCGGACUGAGAGGUUGAACGGCCACAUUGGGACUGAGACACGGCCCAGACUCCUACGGGAGGCAGCAGUGGGGAAUAUUGCACAAUGGGGGAAACCCUGAUGCAGCGACGCCGCGUGGAGGAAGAAGGUCUUCGGAUUGUAAACUCCUGUUGUUGAGGAAGAUAAUGACGGUACUC
rnacentral:rRNA from 1 species